rnacentral:rRNA from 1 species
CAGUGCCGUUGAUACUGUAGAGCUAGGAUUAGGUUGCUGUGGGCGGAAUGUGUGGUGUAGCGGUGAAAUGCUUAGAGAUCACACAGAAUAUCGAUUGCGAAGGCGGCUCACAAAGCCUAAAUUGACGCUGAGGCACGAAAGUGUGGGGAUCGAACAGGAUUAGAUACCCUGGUAGUCCACACUGUAAACGAUGAUAACUCGCUGUCGGCGAUAUACAGUCGGUGGCCAAGCGAAAGCGAUAAGUUAUCCACCUGGGGGGUACGACCGCAAGGUUGAAACUCAAAGGAAUUGACGGGGGCCCGCACAAGCAAUGGAUUAUGUGGUUUAAUUCGAAGCAACGCGAAGAACCUUACCAGGGUUUGACAUCCUACUAACGAAGCAGAGAUGCAUUAGGUGCCCUUCGGGGAAAGUAGAGACAGGUGGUGCAUGGUUGUCGUCAGCUCGUGUCGUGAGAUGUUGGGUUAAGUCCCGCAACGAGCACAACCCUUAUUGCUAGUUGCUACGCAAGAGCACUCUAGCGAGACUGCCGUUGACAAAACGGAGGAAGGUGGGGACGACGUCAAAUCAUCAUGCCCCUUAUGUCCUGGGCUACACACGUAAUACAAUGGCGCAAAACAGAGGGAAGCAAGACCGCGAGGUGGAGCAAAUCCCUAAAAGGCGUCUCAGUUCAGAUUGCAGUCUGCAACUCGA